rnacentral:rRNA from 1 species
UACGAGGGGGGCAAAUGUUGUUCGGAAUCACUGGGCGUAAAGGGCGCGUAGGCGGGUCGGCAAGUCAGGGGUGAAAUCCCGCGGCUCAACCGCGGAAGCGCCUUUGAUACUGCCGGUCUCGAGGGAGGCAGGGGAGUGCGGAACUUCCGGUGGAGCGGUGAAAUGCGUAGAUAUCGGAAGGAACAUCGGUGGCGAAAGCGGCGCUCUGGACCUCUACUGACGCUGAGGCGCGAAAGCCAGGGGAGCAAACGGG